GAUGAACGCUGGCGGCGUGCCUAAUACAUGCAAGUCGAGCGAACGGAUGAGAAGCUUGCUUCUCUGAUGUUAGCGGCGGACGGGUGAGUAACACGUGGAUAACCUACCUAUAAGACUGGGAUAACUUCGGGAAACCGGAGCUAAUACCGGAUAAUAUUUUGAACCGCAUGGUUCAAAAGUGAAAGACGGUCUUGCUGUCACUUAUAGAUGGAUCCGCGCUGCAUUAGCUAGUUGGUAAGGUAACGGCUUACUAAGGCAACGAUGCAUAGCCGACCUGAGAGGGUGAUCGGCCACACUGGAACUGAGACACGGUCCAGACUCCUACGGGAGGCAGCAGUAGGGAAUCUUCCGCAAUGGGCGAAAGCCUGACGGAGCAACGCCGCGUGAGUGAUGAAGGUCUUCGGAUCGUAAAACUCUGUUAUUAGGGAAGAACAUAUGUGUAAGUAACUGUGCACAUCUUGACGGUACCUAAUCAGAAAGCCACGGCUAACUACGUG
rnacentral:rRNA from 1 species